rnacentral:rRNA from 1 species
UCAAGUUAAAACUUGAUAACUCACAAGUGAAUACAUAGCUUGUGUAGAGGAAAGCCUGUGAACUGAAACAUCUUAGUAACAGGACGAAGAGAAAAUAACCCAAUGAUUCCGAGAGUAGCGGCGAGCGAAAUUGGAAGAGCCUAAAUUGUGUGUACGUGAUAGCCUGCAAGCGUUGUGCACAUGAGGUUGUGGGACUUGCAUCAUAUUUUGCAGAAUAUGGAUUGAGUUAGAAAAUUAUUUAUUAGUUAAAGUCAACUGGGAAGUUGCGCCAUAGAGAGUGAUAGCCUCGUAAACGACAAUAAAUAAUCUCAAGUAAGUAUCCCGAGUAAGGCGGGGCACGUGAAACCCUGUCUGAAUCCACCGGGACCAUCCGGUAAGGCUAAAUACUAGUCAGUGACCGAUAGUGAACGAGUACAGUGAUGGAAAGGCGAAAAGAACAGUGAGAAGCUGAGUGAAAUAGACCCUGAAACCGUUAGCUUACAACCAGUCAGAGCACAAUUAAUUGUGUGAUGGCGUGCCUGUUGAAGAAUGAGCCGGCGAGUUAUUUUUUGUUGCGAGGUUAAGGAGAUCAUAUCCGGAGCCACAGGGAAACCGAGUCUGAAUAGGGCGUUAAGUAACAGGAAAUAGACCCGAACCUUGGUGAUCUAACCUUGACCAGGAUGAAGCGUGGGUAACACUACGUGGAGGUCCGAACCAACCGAUGUUGAAAAAUCGGUGGAUGAGUUGAGGUUAGGGGUGAAAUGCCAAUCGAACCAAGAGCUAGCUGGUUCUCCCCGAAAUGCGUUUAGGCACAGCGUUGGAUUUAUCUUGCAGGAGGUAGAGCACUGGUUUUGUGCGGGCGUCGAAAUGAUGUACCAAACAAUGUCAAACUCCGAAUACCUGUAAUGUCAUUAUCCAGCAGUGAGGCUAUGAGUGAUAAGAUCCAUGGCCAAGAGGGAAACAGCCCAGAACGCCAGUUAAGGUCCCUAAUAUAUGCUAAGUGGUUAAGGAGGUAGAGUUACUGAGACAACCAGGAGGUUGGCUUAGAAGCAGCCAUCCCUUGAAAGAGUGCGUAAUAGCUCACUGGUCAAGUGACUCCGCGCCGAAAAUACACCGGGACUAAAGCAUAUAACCGAAGCUGCGUCAUAUAGUUUACUAUAUGGGUAGGGGAGCGUACUGUAGUAAGACGAAGCUAGAGUGAAAACACUAGUGGAUGAGGCAGUAGUGAGAAUGUCGGCAUAAGUAGCGAAAACAUUGGUGAGAAUCCAAUGCACCGAAAACCUAAGGUUUCCCACGGCAGGCUCGUCCGCGUGGGGUUAGUCGGAUCCUAAGCUCAGGCCAAACGGCGUAGGCGAUGGACAAUAGGUUGAUAUUCCUAUACUAUCUGAUAAUCGUUAUCAGAAGCGGAGGGACGCAAGAGGAUAAGCACGCAGUCGACUGGAAGAGACUGUAUAAGCGUGUAGCUAGGUUUGACAGGAAAAUCCGUCAAAUCGUUAAUGUGAGGCGUGAUGUGGAGAGUCUACGGACUCGAAGGUGUUGACUCCAAAUUGCCAAGAAAAUCUUCGCUCUCGAGAUUAUUGGGUAUCCGUACCGUAAACCGCCACAGGUAGGUUGGUAGAAAAUACUAAGGUGCGCGAGACAACUCUCGCUAAGGAACUCGGCAAAAUCACCUCGUAACUUCGGGAGAAGAGGUACCCUGGUAGCGUGAAGCGAUUUACUCGUGAAGCGUGAUAGGGUCGCAGUGAAUAGGCCCAAGCGACUGUUUACCAAAAACACAGGUCUCUGCUAAGUCGAUCAAGACGAUGUAUAGGGGCUGACGCCUGCCCGGUGUCGGAAGGUUACGCGGAAAUGUUAGAAGCAAUUCAAAGCAUCGAAGCUAAGCCCCGAUGAACGGCGGCCGUAACUAUAACGGUCCUAAGGUAGCGAAAUUCCUUGUCAGGUA